AUUGAACGCUGGCGGCAGGCCUAACACAUGCAAGUCGAACGAGUGGCGGACGGGUGAGUAAUGUCUGGGAAACUGCCCGAUGGAGGGGGAUAACUACUGGAAACUGUAGCUAAUACCGCAUACCAUCGGAUGUGCCCAAGUGGGCUUAGCUAGUAGGUGGGGUAAUGGCUCACCUGGGCGACGAUCCCUAGCUGGUCUGAGAGGAUGACCAGCCACACUGGAACUGAGACACGGUCCAGACUCCUACGGGAGGCAGCAGUGGGGAAUAUUGCACAAUGGGCGCAAGCCUGAUGCAGCCAGGCCGCGUGUAUGAAGAAGGCCGUCGGGUUGUAAAGUACUUUCAGCGGGGAGGCGUUACCCGCAGAAGAAGCACCGGCUAACUCCGUGCCAGCAGCCGCGGUAAUUC
rnacentral:rRNA from 1 species